UACGGAGGGUGCGAGCGUGUCCGGAAUCAUUGGGCGUAAAGGGCGCGUAGGUGGCGCGGGCAGUCAACGGUGAAAGUUCGGGGCUCAACCCUGAAUCGGCCGUCGAUACUCCCGAGCGUCGAGCACUGUAGAGGCAGAUGGAAUUCCGGGUGUAGCGGUGGAAUGCGUAGAGAUCCGGAAGAACACCGGUGGCGAGGCGGCUGCUGGGCAGUGCUGGACACUGAGGCGCGACAGCGUGGGGAGCAAACAGG
rnacentral:rRNA from 1 species